rnacentral:lncRNA from 1 species
UCCGUGUGAUAGAGAGGGCCAGUUUGCUGGAAGAAGCUGAGUGAAUCCAUGAAAAGAGCCCUGCUGAAGAGGUAAUGGAGAGCGGGGGAGGAGGCACUGCCUGCUGCACAAGCAUGAGAAGCCAAGUCUGAUUCUCACAACCCAGGUAGAAAAUACAGAUAUGAUGGUGUCACGGGGUCCCAGCAGUGGGAGCACACGUCUACAGGAGGCAGUAGGAACAAAUUCGGGAGGCAGGAGAGACUUGACUGAUUUCCCCAUCCUCCUCCAAAACUUGAUUACAUUUGAUGAGAGUGCUUUCUGCUUAGCUGGCUGGCAUGAGAGGGAUUAAGCUGUAGGGAGCUUUUCACACCUAAGAUGUAGCUCAUCACCUGAGGAUAUGCUGCAGCUCUUAGCUGCCUUUUUUUUUUUUAAACUACCACCUUCUGGUCCUUCACUUUUAUUAAUAAGAUCAGUUAAAAUGAUUAUGUCUCCAGUGGCUUUGCAAACAUAAUUUAUUGAAUAUAAAAAAAAAUAUGGAAGGGAGGUUAGAUACAAUCCAAGUUCAAAACCUUGUUUUCCAGACUUGAGAACCAGAAAGAGGCUAGCUUAUCUGUGCUGGGUAAACCAGUAUACCAGGGACCCUUGUGACCUGAAGCAGCAGGCUCUCUUUGUUCCCUGUGGAGAUGGGGGCUGAGCCAUGCUGACUCUGGACAAUGAGGGGGACAUGUACCCCGGAGCCGGCACACCCUAGCACUGUGUUCCCUGCUCUGUCUAUCAGAGCACAUACACCGCCUUUGAGCAGCACAGCUCUGACAUUUACCAGGCAAUACCAAGGGAUCUGUGCUAGAGAGAAUUAUAGGAUUAUGGAACAGCGGGGAAGUGAAAGGGCAAUAUGGAAAUGUGGUGGAGAAAGGCUCCUUGGUGAUCAAUACUACGAGCUCU